AGAACGAACGCUGGCGGCAUGCCUAAUACAUGCAAGUCGAACGAACUCUUCGGAGUUAGUGGCGCACGGGUGCGUAACGCGUGGGAAUCUGCCCCUUGGUUCGGAAUAACAGUUGGAAACGACUGCUAAUACCGGAUGAUGACGAAAGUCCAAAGAUUUAUCGCCAAGGGGUGAGCCCGCGUAGGAUUAGCUAGUUGGUGAGGUAAAGGCUCACCAAGGCAACGAUCCUUAGCUGGUCUGAGAGGAUGAUCAGCCACACUGGGACUGAGACACGGCCCAGACUCCUACGGGAGGCAGCAGUAGGGAAUAUUGGACAAGUGGGACGAAAGCCUGAUCCAGCAAUGCCGCGUGAGUGAUGAAGGCGUUAGGUGUAAAGCUCUUUACCGAGAUGAUAAUGAACAGUAUACGGAGAAGUAACGCCCGGACUAACCGUCCGUGCCGAGCCGACGGCCCGACGGUUAACUCGU
rnacentral:rRNA from 1 species